UUGUGGUUAAAAAGCUCGUAGUUGGAUCUCGGCGGACUGAGGGCGGUUUGCUUGCUAGUAUUACUGCCCUAUAGUCCGUAGUUUUGCCAGAGGUUUCGGGGUGCUCUUAAUCGAGUGUCCCGGGAUGCUGGCAGGUUUACUUUGAAAAAAUUAGAGUGCUCAAAGCAGGCUAUUACGCCUGAAUAUUCGUGCAUGGAAUAAUAGAAUAGGAAGUCGUUUCUAUUUUGUUGGUUUUCGGAAAUCGACUUAAUGAUUAAUAGGGACAGUCGGGGGCAUUUGUAUUCAAACGACAGCAGGUGAAAUUCUUGGACCGUUUGAAGACAAACUACUGCGAAAGCAUUUGCUAAGAAUAUUUUCAUUAAUCAAGAACGAAAGUUAAAGGUUCGAAGGCGAUUAGAUACCGCCCUAGUUUUAACCAUAAACGAUGCCAGCUAGCGAUCUGCGGACGUUUUUUUUGUAGACUCCGCAGGAAGCUUCCGGGAAACCAAAGCAUUUGGGUUCCAGGGGAAGUAUGGUUGCAAAGCUGAAACUUAAAGGAAUUGACGGAAGGGCACCACCAGGAGUGGAGCCUGUGGCUUAAUUUGACUCAGCACGGGAAAUCUCACCAGGCCCGGACACUGGAAGGAUUGACAGAUGGAUAGCUCU
rnacentral:rRNA from 1 species